CGAAAUUCAAAAUAUCUGUGGAAAAGCUGGGCGGCCUCACGGCUGGGCCAGCUCUCCCAGACACACACCCUUGUGAACCAUUCACGUAUUUUGGUGACCCCACGCGCUUUGGCUUUGCCCAGGGCCGCGUGCAGCGAAAUGGAGGCCGUGGUCUCCGUUUCUCUCUGGGUCGCCAACCUUGACCAAACACCUACAUAUUUUACUCCACUGAAACCAAAACAUGAGAAACAAUGAGAAA
rnacentral:misc_RNA from 1 species